rnacentral:rRNA from 1 species
UACGAAGGGGGCUAGCGUUGCUCGGAAUCACUGGCGUAAAGGGUGCGUAGGCGGGUCUUUAAGUCAGGGGUGAAAUCCUGGAGCUCAACUCCAGAACUGCCUUUGAUACUGAAGAUCUUGAGUCCGGGAGAGGUGAGUGGAACUGCGAGUGUAGAGGUGAAAUUCGUAGAUAUUCGCAAGAACACCAGUGGCGAAGGCGGCUCACUGGCCCGGUACUGACGCUGAGGCACGAAAGCGUGGGGAGCAAACAGG